rnacentral:lncRNA from 1 species
AGUUGGAGGGAAGAAAGGAUUUAGGGCCUAGCAGGUGGGUUUGGAGGAGAGAAUGGGAGAGGCUGAAGGUAGAGAAGUGAUAGAAUUUGGCUCACCUGGAAGGGCAACGGGCUAGAAGGGCUUCUGAAACGCUUGCUGAUUGCAAGUUCAGGGUAGCAGGCAACCUCUGUGAAUGUCAGGACAAAGUGGAAAAGACAUUCUGAGACUCACUCAAGAAGAGUUUCAUUUCUUCUGUGGUGGUGCUGCCACAUGUGGUAACUGCCUUGUGGAGGGGGGAUGAAAACAAGCCAGGAUUGAGUGGUUGGAUCUCCUCACCGGAGUGCUUCCUUUACAGCAGGCUCCCAUCAUCUUUUCCUUCCAGGUGCUCUCCUUGCUUUGCUCAGAUCCACUCUCCACCCCUCUCCACUUUGCUCUCUGCCCUGGAAGAUUGAAGUGAAUGGAUAUCAACAGGGCUCCUAGCUCUUUGGCUUUUGGCUGGCUUUGGCCCAUGAAGAGCUGUGGCAAGAGAUCGGAGUCAGGGCAGAGAGUAGAAACUGGUACUCUGACAAUGUGUGCCUUUCAAUGGAGGAUGCUUGAAGUGCCUUUCAAGGAUGCUGCUUUGUUUUUCUGGCUCUACAUGCAACCCAUACAAUUGAUGGAAUUUUCUAUUAAACAUGAAAGGGCUUAAGGAAAUUUGUCUAAUAGCAGAAUAACCCACGGUAAAGGUGAAUACUCUCGUGAUGACAUCACUGGAUGCUCAAUUGGAAAGACAGAGGCGCAAUUGGCUUCCACUAGCCUCUGUGAGCCAGCUCCAGCCUACUAUCGAUAGCAUCAUCAAUUUUGAAAAGAAUAAAAAGAGAGAGAAAUUAAAGGAGCAGCUUGUUAAGCUAAAAAAAAAUUCUCUUGAAGAGUGAAGAUGGAAGAUUGGGAGUCACAAGAAGAGAAAAGAUUUUGUGGACACUUGGGUUCCACAAAAAACAAUUUAUAAAGCCAAGAUGUUUCAUUUCCUUUAAAUUAGUUACGACUUCAAAGGUAUAUGAAGGAAAAAAUGUAUUUGCAACAACUAGAGGAGUGACCCAGGAAACCCGGACACGCAACCAUCAUGUAUCAUUUCUGUGAUGGUAAGGAUUCAGAUCAGAAUGUGGUUUUCCAGGCCGAGUGCCUGUCGGGUUCACUGCUCCCUUCUGAGAAGUCUCCGAAUGCCUGCCAGGCUCACAACUCUUUCUUCAAAAUAUGUCCAGGAUACAGCUACUUCUCGCUACCUCCACUGCCACCACCCAGCUGGUAACCUGCCCAUGGAUCGCAGCCUGGCUCGGCAUGAGCCUGACAACACAUCAGCACCAGUUGCUAGCGUCCCUUUUCUGACAGAAGCUUCAUUCUUCACCAUGGAGAAAACCCAACCGAUAAUGACAGCCACCAACGGUCCAUACACAAUAAACAAACCCCACACAUAGGUUUGAUCUUUCAAAAAAAGUUGCAAGACUGCAGUUUUAAAUGUGCUGGGGCCAUAUUUUGCUAUAUAGAUUACAGUUUUUCCCAGUAUUUCCUGUUACCUUAUGAUAAUUUCUGCUUUUGGGCAACUGGACUCUGGCAACUAUUACUUCAUGCUGAGGGUAGUGCUUCAGGAACAAAAGAGUCAAUUUUUGGCUUUUGAGUUUCAAAUAUGAUAUUUUGUGGCUCAUGGCAGAGAUAAAUAUUUUAAUUUAAAAAACCUAGGGCCCAGAAUCUAAGCUAUCCGUUUUGAAGAAGAAGUAAAAAGCCAAGCUACCAUGACUUCAGAUUAAAUGAAGACUCUCUGGACUGGAGGAGGGAGAAGAUAGUAAAAGGAACUAUUUGAUGUGAGAGGAUUCCUGAUGGCCUCCAUCUCCCACACUUCUCACCCC